rnacentral:rRNA from 1 species
CCUACGGGUGGCAGCAGUAGGGAAUCUUUCACAAUGGGCGAAAGCCUGAUGGAGCAACGCCGCGUGCAGGAUGAAGGCCUUCGGGUUGUAAACUGCUUUUAUAAGCGAGAAAUAUGAUGGUAACUUAUGAAUAAGGAUCGGCUAACUACGUGCCAGCAGCCGCGGUCAUACGUAGGAUCCGAGCAUUAUCCGGAGUGACUGGGUGUAAAGAGUUGCGUAGGUGGCAUAAUAAGUAGCUAGUGAAAUCGGGUGGCUCAACCAUUCAGACUAUUAGCUAAACUGUUAAGCUCGAGAACGUUAGGGGUAAGUGGAAUUGCUAGUGUAGGAGUGAAAUCCGUAGAUAUUAGAAGGAACACCAAUAGCGUAGGCAGGUUACUGGGACGGUUCUGACACUAAGGCACGAAAGCGUAGGGAGCAAACGGGAUUAGAUACCCUUGUAGUC